AACGAACGCUGGCGGCAUGCCUAACACAUGCAAGUCGAACGAGACCUUCGGGUCUAUUGUCGCACGGGUGCGUAACGCGUGGGAACCUUCCCUUAGGUUCGGAAUAACUCCCCGAAAGGGGUGCUAAUACCGGACAAUGUCUUCGGACCAAAGAUUUAUCGCCUUUGGAUGGUCCCGCGUUGGAUUAGCUGGUUGGUAGGGUAAAAGCCUACCAAGGCGACGAUCCAUAGCUGGUCUGAGAGGAUGAUCAGCCACACUGGGACUGAGACACGGCCCAGACUCCUACGGGAGGCAGCAGUGGGGAAUAGUGGACAAUGGGCGAAGGGCUGAUCCAGCUAUGCCGCGUGAGUGAUGAAGGCCUUGGGGAUGUAAAGCUCUUUUAACCGGGAUGAUAAUGACAGUACCGAGAGAGUAAGCUCCGGCUAACUCCGUG
rnacentral:rRNA from 1 species